AAUCCUGGCUCAGGAUGAACGCUAGCUACAGGCUUAACACAUGCAAGUCGAGGGGCAGCAUGGUCUUAGCUUGCUAAGGCCGAUGGCGACCGGCGCACGGGUGAGUAACACGUAUCCAACCUGCCGUCUACUCUUGGACAGCCUUCUGAAAGGAAGAUUAAUACAAGAUGGCAUAAUGAGUUCACAUGUUCACAUGAUUAAAGGUAUUCCGGUAGACGAUGGGGAUGCGUU
rnacentral:rRNA from 1 species